AAAUGAAAUCAGAAGUUGACUUGACAGCUUUCUACACGCUCUGUAAGAAUUGGAAGGUUGUUGCAUUUAAGUGGUUGUGCACUCUUUAAGAUUUCAAAAGUGUUACUUCAUUGAAAUCCUGC